GGGCUCUUGGCACAGGAGUAGCGCGCACGCUUUGCAUUAUUAACGAUGAAAAUACGAGUGCGUGAGGUCGUGGGUUCAAAUCCCACAGUGUCCA
rnacentral:tRNA from 1 species